GGAGGGUACAGCUCAGUAGUAGAGCAUGUACUUAGUAUAUACGAGGUCCUGGGUUCAAUCCCCAACACCUCCU
rnacentral:tRNA from 1 species